GCCAGUGUGGUGUAGUGGCUGUGGCAUUGGAUUACGACUCUGAAGACCAGGGCUCAAAUCCCUGCUCAGCCA